CGAACGCUAGCGGCAUGCCUAACACAUGCAAGUCGAACGCGAAAGGAGACCUCGGUCUCUGAGUAAAGUGGCGCACGGGUGAGUAACACGUGGUAUAAUCUACCCGAUGAUCUGGGAUAACAUUUCGAAAGGGAUGCUAAUACCGGAUAAGCCCACGACGUCUUCGGACGAUGUGGGAAAAGGUGGGGACCUUCGGGCCUACCGUCAUCGGAUGAGUCCGCGGCCCAUUAGCUAGUUGGUGGGGUAAUGGCCUACCAAGGCUUCGAUGGGUAGCUGGUCUGAGAGGAUGAUCAGCCACACUGGAACUGAGACACGGUCCAGACUCCUACGGGAGGCAGCAGUGGGGAAUCUUGCGCAAUGGGCGAAAGCCUGACGCAGCAAUGCCGCGUGAGUGAUGAAGGUUUUAGGAUCGUAAAGCUCUGUCAGUGGGGAAGAAACUAUCGUCGGAUAAUAACCGGCGGUACUGACGGUACCCACAAAGGAAGCACCGGCUAACUCCGUGCCAGCAGCCGCGGUAAUACGGAGGGUGCAAGCGUUGUUCGGAAUUAUUGGGCGUAAAGCGCGUGUAGGCGGUUGUUUAAGUCUGAUGUGAAAGCCCUGGGCUCAACCCAGGAAGUGCAUUGGAAACUGAGCAACUUGAGUACGGGAGAGGAAAGUGGAAUUCCGAGUGUAGGGGUGAAAUCCGUAGAUAUUCGGAGGAACACCAGUGGCGAAGGCGGCUUUCUGGACCGAUACUGACGCUGAGACGCGAAAGCGUGGGGAGCAAACAGGAUUAGAUACCCUGGUAGUCCACGCCGUAAACGAUGGGUACUAGAUGUCGCGGGUAUUGACCCCUGCGGUGUCGCAGCUAACGCAUUAAGUACACCGCCUGGGGAGUACGGUCGCAAGAUUAAAAUUCAAAGGAAUUGACGGGGGCUCACACAAGCGGUGGAGCAUGUGGCUUAAUUCGAAGCAACGCGAAGAACCUUAUCCUGGGUUUGACAUGUAUGGAUUAGCUUCCUGAAAGGGAAGUGACGAGUUUACUUGGAACAUACACAGGUGCUGCAUGGCUGUCGUCAGCUCGUGCUGUGAAGUGUCGGGUUAAGUCCCUUAACGAGCGAAACCCGGAGGAAGGUGGGGAUGACGUCAAGUCCUCAUGGCCUUUAUGCCCAGGGCUGCACACGUGCUACAAUGGCAAGUACAAAGCGAAGCGAUAUCGUAAGGUGGAGCAAAUCGCAAAAAGCUUGCCCCAGUUCGGAUUGUGGUCUGCAACUCGACCACAUGAAGGUGGAAUCGCUAGUAAUCGCGUAUCAGCUACGACGCGGUGAAUACGUUCCUGAGCCUUGUACACACCGCCCGUCAAGUCAUGGGAGCCGGUAGUACCCGAAGCCGCACCGUUUCAGGUGUGUCUACGGUAAGAUCG
rnacentral:rRNA from 1 species